rnacentral:rRNA from 1 species
UACGGAGGGAGCUAGCGUUGUUCGGAUUUACUGGGCGUAAAGCGCACGUAGGCGGCGCCGUAAGUCAGGGGUGAAAUCCCGGAGCUCAACUCCGGAACUGCCCUUGAAACUGCAGUGCUAGAAUCUUGGAGAGGCGAGUGGAAUUCCGAGUGUAGAGGUGAAAUUCGUAGAUAUUCGGAAGAACACCAGUGGCGAAGGCGACUCGCUGGACAAGUAUUGACGCUGAGGUGCGAAAGCGUGGGGAGCAAACAGG